AUAAAAAUCUGGAGCUCGAUGGCUUCAUAACGCUUACAAAAGCGUAGACUUCAGAUUAAUAAUUUUUAAAAUCUACUUUAACUUUCUAAAGCAGGGAAUAAAAUACCACAAAACGCAGCUGGAGGGAGAUAAACGCGCCUGACAAGAAAUCCUACUAUGAGGUGGCUUGGCUGCAGUUGCUUCUGCAUUUUAGUGGGGAAUUAUAGUUUCCACGGACUGUACUCCAGAGAGAUCAAAGUCUUUCUGAUCACAGACUGAUAGGACUAUGAUUCUUGCUAUGGAUGCCAACUUUGACCUUGUAAGAAAAAAGAGCUUUGAAAGAAAUGUGACUGACCAAGUUAACUGGGAGAUCCAAAAUAUAUCAUCAGUGAGUCAGAAGGUCAACCGUCGUCUUGACUGUCUGACUGAUGCACUACUUCACUGUGGGAGGAGAAAAUCAGUAGAUCUAGGCUGGAGAGUGAUCUUCAAACAACUGAGAGACACUGGAAUAAAACAAAGAUGGAGUCAGUCUCCCAAUCAACUCAGAGACCUUGACCGGCAAGUCAGAGGUCAACUGGUACUACAAGCCCAAAAUGAAGUGAGGGAGAAAUUCUCUCUAUUCUCCUCCUGAAAUGAAGCAAUCUUGUGGCUCCUUUCAUGUAGAAGGACAUCAGCCUUCUCUGCCUGACUGUUUCUGAGAACGCUUAAAGUCAUUUGGUCUACCUGAUCAUUUGGCAACCUGCUCUCCUCCACAAUGCAGCUCCACCAAUCGAGAUGCUUCGCUGACCCCUUCUCUGAAACCAUCGUGUUAUUGUGUGCUAGAACCAAGCAGGCUGUGGUACUCUCCUUCCCGCAGCCGUGAGUGCAACGAUUCCUCUGCACGGAUGACGACUUCUGCUGCUGCACAGUGAACAGAAAAUCCUGCAAAUCAUCCUUUGGCAUCUGUCACUGUUUCCUACACCAGCUUUUUUUUUUUUUUGUUUCAGUGUUUGCUUGCAGUUUAAAGAGGCAAUGCAGCUGCAAACAGAAAUAAUUUCAGCAUGUCCAGCUUUUUGAAAA